rnacentral:tRNA from 1 species
GCCGGGGUGGCGGAAUUGGCAGACGCAGCGGACUUAAAAUCCGCCGGAGUAAAAUCCUUGCGGGUCCGAGUCCCGCCCUCGGCA